AGUAACAGCAGCAGCAGCAGUAACAGCAGCAGCACUAACAGCAGCAGCAGCAGCCACUUCCGCUGCAAAGAAAACACCACGCUUCGAUCAAAGGGAAAACGUAUUCAGAGACGUGUCGACGAGACGGGUCGGGGUUGUUAUUUUCAGGGGUGUUGAGAAUGCUAACACACACACACACACACGCACAUAGAGAAGAGUGCCUGAGUUACAGUUGGUUACUUCUCCUUCAUCUAAUAUUCCUGUGUCUGUCUUGUUGGAAAUUAUGGGAUAGAUAUUUAUCAACCUGUCCUCCAACUGAAACAUAACUACGGGUCGUUUUGGGGCGCUGGUUUUGAAAACAUAUUUUUCAGCUCAAAUAUGCACAUGUGUUACUGAGAAUUAAAAAGUUGAUAUAGGGAGUCAAACACUCAAGCUACUAGACAACACUUCCAAGGUAAUACCAGGUUGUUGUCAUGUAUACAACCACCAUGGGCGCUGGUUUUGAAAAUGUAGAUGCUAUGUGUACGUUUCCUUGCAGUCUCAUAGUUAUUGUGGUCCACAUCGAAAGGACUGGUGAAAGAAACAAAGAUGGAAAAGCUGGUUUCACCGUUUGUGGUCUGACUGAGAGGAGACGCAGGUUUAUGAUAAUCCUCAUAAAUGAUGAUGUGCUGCACAGACAUUAAAAACUGUGAUUGGCACUAAAUCAAACAGGCUGAGCCUCUCGGGUCACACAGUGACUGGAGAUGCUUUUCUCUUCCAACUAUCAAUUUCUCUCUGUCCUAAAAUCCUGCAUCACUGCAGCUCCUCCCACCAAUUCCAGCCUCUCAUCUAUCCUCUCGUUUUUCACUCUCUCCUUUGGCUCAACUUGUGAUUUUGCAUCAUUUUAGCAUGUCCACAUCCCACCUUCCUUUACUGCUGUGUGACAUGUGGAGCUGGGUCUGUAGUAUUCUGUAUUUUACUUGAUGAUUUCACUCAUGGUUGAAUGGUUAACCAGAUUAAGACCCACCACUUCAAUCUGUGCAGAUUAUUCUAACUUCAUUAACUCUGGAGGUCAUAGGUUGUUAGCUUGACUUUGGAUAGCCCAUCGUUGAUGAGUGCCCUGUAUUCACUGUAUUAUGAGGACAAUGUCAUCACUGCCUUUGAUUAAAAAGGGAAACAAAUCUGCUUAACUGUUUAAGGUGAGGACAGUUAAUACAUUUGUAACAGAAUUCCAUUAACCAUGGGUCAAGUACACAAUGACUUUAUAUCAGUUCUGUGCUUUGAGUUAAAUAAUGAAACGUUUGGUUUUGUCACAGGAGAGAAUCGAACAUUUGAGAAGAGCUGGGAUGAUUAAAAUGUUAAUGCCACUAAAUCAUUUCCCUGAUGAAUGUGUGAAUGCUGAGAAAGCAUCAAUCAUGGUUACAUCAGGCCGACGCAGUCACACCACAGAGUGGGACGCUGGAGAUUGUCAGGAUGAAACAGUCUUCAACUUCAGCAAAGGUGAUUCCUUCAACAGUACAUGUUCCUAAUUAAAGAAGAGAAAAGAAAUAUCACUUUAAGUCUGAUGAUCAACUACAGAUACACAGAUGCACCUUCAUGAUGACUCAACUUCAGCUUCCUUCAUGUCUGAUUUGCAAGUAUUUGAAUUGUGAGACUAAUGAGCAAAGGUGAUGGUAAAUCUGAGGAUUAUCAUAGAGGUCCUUUAAUCUUUCACACUCCACUGAAUCACCAAAUAUUUGACAUAAAAUACACAAUUCACACAGCAAAGGCAAAAGUGGGAACUUUUGUCUAUGAAAUUAAUUUUAUUUUCACACACUUCACUAACUUUGACCUGAACAGUGGGCAAUGGUGAUUCCACGCCUUGCUCAGGGGCACCCCAGCUCUUUACCCAUCCCAGGGUCUGAACUGGUGACCCUUUGGUUACAAACCCAAUCCCCUUCCAUUUGUCCAUGGGUUGACAAAUGGCAAGAACUUCCAUUUUAAGCAUGCAAACAUGACAUUUGACAUGUUGGAGUAGCUAUGCUAAGCUAGUGCACUUAUGACAACACGUGUCAAGAAGCAGCAUCUGAUGAUACAUGACAGAUAGAGUUUGUGUUUCAUGACUCAUUGUCACAGAGCCGCAGUGAAGGUUUGUUGUUGCUGGUUCUCUUGCAGUCAUGAAGUCUACUUGGCUUUUAGAAAUGUUAACUCGCUGGUGUAGACAUUUGCUCUGGCCUUGUUUCCAGUGUAUGAGCCUGUUAGAGAAACCCAUAUACUGUACUGUAAGUUCUCUAGUGUGAUAUUAAUGUUCCACCAAGUUCCAGCAUAAUCGGAACUUUUUCAUUGUCACAAUUUGUUUUGUUUGUACAUUUCUCCAGUCAAAUAAUAAUAUAAUAUGUCAAAAUAUGUAAGUGAGCUUUUUCCAUCGGUUUGGUGAAGUAACAGCAUUUGUAUCAGUAGGUAGUGAGGCAAAUAAGAGGUAGUCAAAAUAUUAGAGAUGAAACCAUUAACUGAUUCAUCGAUUAUUAAUCGACAACUAUUUUGAUAAACGAUAAUCGGUUUGAAGCUUUUUUCAUGAUUAAAACAAGAUUUCUGAUUGUUUCAGCUUCUUAAAUGUGAGUAUUAUCUUCAUUUCUUUGCUCUUGAUCACAAAGAAAUCAUUAACAGUGAAUCCUUUUGAUUUGUGGACAAAACAAGCGAUUGAGAACAUCGUAAUUUCCAGGUUUGACAAACACUGAUCAACAUUUUUUAAGGUUUUCUGAUAUUUUUUAUGGACCAAACGAUUCAUCGAGAAAAUAAUCGACAGAUGAAUGGAUUAUUAAAAAUGCCUUAAAGUAAACACAUCAAUCAUCAAUGAAAAUUAAGAUGAAUGAAAGUAUGUACAAAGCAGUUAUAUCAGAUGCAAAUUAUAAAUGUUUUUUUAAAAUGAGUAUCACAGAACAAAACAAGAACUCUUGGUUGUUCUUUCAGGUAAGGGUUAGGGCUAGGGUAAUAGUGUUAGGGUUAGGGUAAUCCUAAUGUCUCAUAUAAUGUCUGACAGGACUUUUCUGUCAAACAUCGUCCAAGUUUGGAGUCUGCUGCAGAGACUGAAUUGUAGCAUUGAGAAGUUCAUUCUCCCGACACAAUUACAGAAAGCUCACCUGCCCUUGGCUUGUUUCCCAGUAUUUGUGUUGAUUUUCUCUGAGCAAUUAACAAUGUGACACCAUGACCUCGGACUGCAGAGGAAAGAGAUGAAAAACAGGGAGUGGAAGUGUAGUGCAGGGCAUUUUAAUAACAAUACAUUUCAAUGUAAAGUCAUGUGGAAAUAAACGUGUUUGUUUGUCAGU